UACGGAGGGUGCGAGCGUUGUCCGGAAUCACUGGGCGUAAAGGGCGCGUAGGCGGCGGGGUAAGCGUGUGGUGAAAGCUCGGGGCUCAACCCCGGGUCGGCCGUGCGAACUGUCCCGCUCGAGCACUGUAGAGGCAGAUGGAAUUCCGGGUGUAGCGGUGGAAUGCGUAGAGAUCCGGAAGAACACCGGUGGCGAAGGCGGUCUGCUGGGCAGUUGCUGACGCUGAGGCGCGACAGCGUGGGGAGCAAACAGG
rnacentral:rRNA from 1 species